CCCUUAGAUGUUCUGGGCCGCACGCGCGCUACACUGUUCGACGCAGCGAGUCUUAACCUUGACCGAAAGGUUUGGGUAAUCUUCAGCAAAGUCGAACGUGAUGGGGAUCGAUCAUUGCAAUUAUUGAUCGUGAACGAGGAAUUCCUAGUAAGUGCAAGUCAUCAGCUUGCGCUGAUUACGUCCCUGCCCUUUGUACACACCGCCCGUCGCUACUACCGAUUGAAUGGUUUAGUGAGAUCUCUGGAUUGACGCUGGCUAGGGGGCGACCCUUAGCCAGACUGUUGAGAAACUGCUCAAACUUGAUCAUUUAGAGGAAGUAAAAGUCGUAACA
rnacentral:rRNA from 1 species